UACGGAGGGGGCUAGCGUUGUUCGGAAUUACUGGGCGUAAAGCGCACGUAGGCGGCUUUUUAAGUCAGAGGUGAAAGCCCGGGGCUCAACUCCGGAACUGCCUUUGAGACUGGGAUGCUAGAUCGUCGGAGAGGUGAGUGGAAUUCCGAGUGUAGAGGUGAAAUUCGUAGAUAUUCGGAAGGAAACACCAGUGGCGAAGGCGGGCUCCACUGGACGACUGAUGACGCUGAGGUGCGAAAGCGUGGGGAGCAAACAGG
rnacentral:rRNA from 1 species